CGAGCCGACCGGGCGGCCGCGGUACCACCGAAUAGUGGGCUGAGGAACGUCCGGGCUCCACAGGGCAGGGUGGUGGCUAACGGCCACCCGGGGUGACCCGCGGGACAGUGCCACAGAGAACAGACCGCCAGGCAGAGCCUGGUCAGGGUGAAACGGCGGGGUAAGAGCCCACCAGCGCGCCGGGUGACCGGCGCGGCUCGGUAAACCCCACCCGGAGCAAGACCGCACAGCAGGCGUCCGAGGGCUGCCCGCCCGAGCCUGCGGGUAGGUCGCGUGAGACCACCAGCAAUGGUGGCCCAAGAGGAAUGGUCGCCACCGCGGGCGAGCCUGCGGCAACAGAACCCGGCGUACAGGUCGGCUCACCGC
rnacentral:RNase_P_RNA from 1 species